rnacentral:rRNA from 1 species
AUGGGAGCUUUCCCUUCACCGCCCCCAUGGGGGUGGUCCAUAGGGUUCAUAACUACCCCUCUUACUACGGGGCGUUUACCUAGCCAACACUUAGAUCCGGCUCUACCCAAAUUUUUUUGGUUCACCCCAACAUUACCCACUUGUCCGACUUUUGCUAAGCAGUUUUGGGAUACUAAACGGACCUCCCCAGAUGGUAAUCUUAAAGUGGCCAGGCUACCGCGCGUCUUCCCCGCGACCCCUGCCUCCUCUCCUACCGCCGCCGCCGAUGCCCGUGACCUAGCCCGCGUGUCUCCCCCACGACCCCCGCCUCCUUUCCCGCUGCCACCGGCACCGACGCCGGCGCCGGAGAAGCUC